rnacentral:lncRNA from 1 species
CUGGGCCACACAGUGACAGCCUGCCUCAGAAUUAAAAAGAAUUGAAAGCAUGUCUAGCUUAUUGGCUCAUCUCCGAAUUCCUAGUGUGCGGUCCAGUGCCUGGUGUGCAAUAGGAAAGGCAAAACCCCAAGACAGCCUAAGAGUAGACACGUUGUACCCUUGAGAAGAACUGAAAGGGGAACGUUUCCUGUUGGUUAUAUUUGUUUACCCCAUGACAUGACCAUGCCUGCAGUGGGAAGGAGACUCCAGAAGUUCAGCCGUGGGAAGCCCAUCCAUGGGGAGACCACUCAGUCACGAGUUCCAACGCAUCGUAUCAACUUCCUGGUUGUUUUCGCUCUCUGCCUUGUUCAUUCCUUGGAAGCCUUACCCAAGUGGACAUCUGCUCUACCUGGAACUUGAUGGAAAUUCUACUAGAUGUUUCUAGACUCCCUCACUUAAUGACGUUACCCUUGUAUUACUAUUUGCCGGAAAACAUAAAAAGUAGAGGAGCUAGGGAGAGAAUAAUCAGUUAAGAGUGCUUGCUGCUCUUGUAGUUCCCAGCGCCUACUUUUGGUGGCUUACAACGAAG